CGGACGGGUGAGUAACACGUGGAUAACCUACCUAUAAGACUGGGAUAACUUCGGGAAACCGGAGCUAAUACCGGAUAAUAUAUUGAACCGCAUGGUUCAAUAGUGAAAGGCGGUUUUGCUGUCACUUAUAGAUGGAUCCGCGCCGCAUUAGCUAGUUGGUAAGGUAACGGCUUACCAAGGCAACGAUGCGUAGCCGACCUGAGAGGGUGAUCGGCCACACUGGAACUGAGACACGGUCCAG
rnacentral:rRNA from 1 species